rfam:Triticum aestivum genome assembly, contig: Triticum_aestivum_CS42_TGACv1_scaffold_434450_5DL
UUUCUAGUCCCUCCGUCCGAAAAAGCUUGUCCCAAGCUUGACUCUCAAAUGGAUGUAUCUAGCACUAACUUGGUGAUAGAUACAUCCAUUUGAGGGACAAGUUUUUUCGGACAGAGGGAGUACUUG